rnacentral:lncRNA from 1 species
UCCACCCGAAGGUGGUCCUUGAGAGAAGGUCUUAGAUGUUUAGAAGAGGUUAUGUUACAUUCUUUGGUAUCACUUAUUAUUUCCUUCAGGCAAACCACAUGUCAGAGGACUUCAAUCUGAAAAUGACAACCACAGUUUCCUAUUAGACAAGAAGUGACAGGUUACCGUAAUCCAGCUGACUCUAUCCCAUCCUGGCUUUGAUGAAGUAAGCUGCUGUGAUGCAAACUGCUCUCUGGAGAGGUGACAAACCUAAGGCAGGCUUUGGACAAUACCUAGGAAGAAACUGAGACCCUCAGUCCUACAACCUGCAAAGAACCAAAUUCUGCCAACAACCAAACAACCAUAUGAGCUUGAAAGCAGAUUCUUCCUGAGCUGAGCCUUGACAGAAGAAUACAUCUCAUACCUAAGUCUUGAUUGCAGCCAGAUGAGAGACUCUGAAGCAGAGGAUUCAGCUACUCUGUGCCCAGACUCCUGACUCACAGAAACUGUGAGCUAACAAUGUAUGGUAUUUUAAGCCACCAAGUUUGCGGUAAUUUGUUAUGAGCAGUAGAUAACUAACAUGCUGCUACAAUAAUUUCGAUACUUUUCAUUAAUUUAUGUCUUUGAGAAUCAGUCUACAGACAGAAUACAAAGAAGAAUGGAUAUGAAAAUGCAACAGUAUUUUAAGUCUUUUCAAACUCAGCGUCGUGAAAGUAAGAAAUUGGGGUGUGGAGUGGAUGUGGGAAGUAGAGAAGAAAUGGUAGGUAAUAGUGCUUAUAGGUUCAUUUUAUAAUGUGAGGAGUCAGCUUUAUGUAACAAGGAAUAAAGGCGUAGAUCUAUUAUGUAAAUUUACAAAAGGAAAAAAGUGGGUGAAGUAAAAAUAUUAUGAAUAAAGAAGAUGGGAUACUUUGAGUGAACCAAAGUAGCAUUUCUCAGGGAAGGAAGUUAAUAGAAUGCUACAUGAUAAAGCAAUAUGGUAGAAACCUGUUAGUGAGAUAGCUGGAAGUAACUAGCAGUAGAAACAACGACUAGAGUUGAAAGUAGUUGCCUCUUGUCAUAAGAGAAUGAAGCAAUAGGGUGUUAAUUUUCAUUUUCCCUAUAAACUAGGUCAUUUGAAACCUUAUAUAUAUUUUACUUUAAAAAUUAUAAUGAAAAUAAAUACACAAAAUGUGAAUUAUAUUAUUUAAAUCAUAAAUUAGAAACAAAGAGUAUUUGUUAUUUAUUCCAAAAUAUCAAUUCUGGCUUUCUGGCUCACUGACAUUUUCAGGAUUCUCCCCUGCUUUCUAAAUAUUUUUUUGCCUUAUUUUUCAAUUUUGCUGAUGAUACAAAUAAUACAUGUUCACCUUAAAUAAUUUUAAAAAGUGUAAAGACAUUGUAACUAAUAUAUAAUAUCUGACAUUCUACCAUUGUGGAAUAAUUACCAUUGACAUUUUGGUGAAUAUUUUUUCUUGCUUCUAUUUCUGCACCCUUAAAACAUACUGCUAAGUCUAGUCUCGAACUCCUGGUUUUGACAUCUACCAGCCUUAUUUUUAAUCUCAUUUUCAUUAAUGGGAUUAUAUCAUAAUAUCACUUUUAAUAUUGGAUAGAAUACUCUUCCUCACUUCAUAUUUUCCAUCUCUGCUUGUAUAUUUAUUUUGCAUUUCUAAGAAAUUAUGCAUAUUAAUAGACAGUUGUGUGUUGAUUUCUCUAUUGUUUCAUGAUUGUAUAAUUGAGGUAAUGCAUGCAGAUAGUCGAUCUAAAUUUCUAUUACUGAAUAUAAAAAUUUAUUAGUGAAGCAAAUUAAAUACUAUAUUAAUAUAUAUCUACAUAUAAUUCCAUGUAAAGACAAUUUGUGGCUAAGAAGAAAUUAUUCUAUGCAUAUAUGUAAAUUAAUACACAGGUACACUCACAUACACACCAUCUCCUUGACCUGAAAGACAGCAGUCUCAACCAUCUGAAAGAUUGCAAUCAAUCAGGAGGGAGGCCAUUACGAUUAUCAUCUAUUCCAAUAAAUAUCAUAAAAUUUGUAUACUUUAUUUAGAUCCCAUUAAGUUUCAUUUUAUCUACAUUUAUUUUAGGCACAAUUCUAAUAAACUUGGUUAUAUGAUUUCAAGCAUAUUAAAAGCAAAAUCUUGAAGAUGGUUAUAAUAGAAUACUAUACCCACCAUAUACAACCUAUCAAUUAGCAUAGGAAUUUGACUCUAAUUAAUGUUAGGGCUUAUACUCCUGAAUGAUCUUUGAAAAUCUGAGAGCCCAUUAAAAAGAACUGAUGUUCAAAUGAUGAUCCCAUGUCAUCAAGGAAAGGUUACAUUAUCUUCAGCUUCUUUUGCUUAAAAAGAAAAUCAAUGAAAAGUUUAAAAUGAUUUCAGAAAAAUUUGAAUUCAAAGGACUGGCAUUUAACCAAAGUUCUUGUUGCUUUAAUUUAUAACUAUCUUGUCAUCACCAUCACCAGUAAAAGCAGCAGCCACAGCAGCAUCAUAAUUUUUAUGACCCUUUUAAAGCAUCUAUUUGCAAGGUAUGCUGGAAGCUACUUAACAUUUUAGCUGAAUUAAUCCAACAACAACCUUAGAAAGAUAUUGUUAUGCUUAUGUUCAGAUAAAAAACAGGUUAAAAAAAUGAUAAGAAAUGAUGGAGUUCACUUUGGGAUACACUGAGUUUGAGGUGCCAUAAAGAGACAUUCAGGAGAUUUCAAUAGGCAAGAAAGAAA